rnacentral:rRNA from 1 species
UACGUAGGUGGCAAGCGUUGUCCGGAUUUAUUGGGUUUAAAGGGUGCGUAGGCGGUCUAUUAAGUCAGUGGUGAAAUACUCCAGCUUAACUGGAGGGGUGCCAUUGAUACUGAUGGACUUGAGUCAAGUCGAGGUAGACGGAAUUGACGGUGUAGCGGUGAAAUGCUUAGAUAUCGUCAAGAACACCAAUAGUGAAGACAGCUUACUGGGCUUAAACUGACGCUGAGGCACGAAAGUGUGGGGAUCAAACAGG